rnacentral:misc_RNA from 1 species
GGCAAUCAGGUCCCCUCCUUCACCCCUUUCUCUUACUCUUUUAAACUUCCUGUAGACUCCUUCCGUCUCUAACCCGCCUACUGAUUUUUCUUUUGUUUCUGUGUUUAUUGGGUAUAGUUUUUUUCUUUAGCAAUGGAGGUGGGUAGUGUCAGUUCUGUGGAGAGGACCUUGUGGGCAUGCUCUGUUAUGGAAGCUAUGGUGGUAGAGACUGCACUUGCAGCUUGGAAGUCUCUUGCUUAUCUGUUCUUUGUGGUUGGAUCAUUACCUGAUGAUAUCGAUGCAUCACCAAAAUUAACUGCAAUGGAUGAGAGGUUUCCUCUAAAUGAACUUUUCAAGAUCAAGCACCCUGAUGCAGAAAACAAAGAUGCUAGUGAUACAGAAGAUGAUGAUGAAGAAGAUGAUGAUACUCAAUUCGGUAGUCCUCGAUUGCGAUGCAUUUUGUGUACUACUGCUGCCAGUUGAGAUGGAACGUUGGUUUUCUUUAUCCGAGUCCCUUUUCUCUUUGGCUGGGGAGUGGGGAAGGGGUUGGAAUUGUGCUAGUUUUCACCAUUUUAUCAGGCUUUUCUUUCCUUUUUUUUCCCCCUUCAUUUUUUUGUGUUAAUAUAUGGUAAGUGUGGUAUUCAUCAGCUUGCCAUUUUUGGUCGAGUUUCAAUUGCUUUAUUAUAAUCUUUUUUUUUCUUUAUAUAUAUAUAUUUACGGAUGAAUGCCACGUGUAUUUGCAUAUGUAGAUGUUUUAGUAACUCAAAAAUAUAUUUACUCUUGACUCACUAGAUUUUAUUCUCUGUAUAGUUAUAGGCAGCACUCUUUGAUUCCUUCCUUAGUAUUGUUUUUAGGCCAGCCUUAGUUGAUGAAAAUUGAAUUUAUUGUUUUCGAUGAUAAAGUAGAAGAAAACAAUAUGGCAAGAAGUAGGGUUGAUUCAUUUAAGCAUGACCUCUUGUGGGUCUCCAUAAAGUAAGUGGAAACAAGUAUCUUCAUUCUGCAUAAGACAAGGUUAUGGGUUCUUCACUACUCUCACUUCCUUUGUGAGCUAUCAUAAUCAUAGGAAUUAAUGAUGGAUGGAAUUAAUCAAUGUCGAAGUACGUUAGGAAUAACCUAUUUAAAAUCCUUCAUUCUGAUUCCUAAAUGUGGUUAUAUGAUGGAUCGAAUUAAUCCAUGUCACAGUAUCUUAGGAGUGUUUAAAUCCUUCAUCAUGUUUCCUAAAUAAUUUAGCUUGCAUUUUGUUGAAUCAAGUAAAUGGCAGUAUAAUUUUUUCACCAUUGUACCACAAAGUCAAACAAGGCUGUGUUCAUAAUGGUUUAGCUAGAGCUUUUUGCUUGACCAGAAAUGUUUGGUUUGGUUGGGUUCUUCUGUUUCUCACUCUCGUUCUGAUUGCCAUACAUCAAAAGUUCAGAACACAGCAAGAUAGCUGAGCCACAUAGGCAACGUUUUGGCAUCAUGCUGGAUCUGUUAGCGUCUGUAUUUCAAUUUGUUGUGGUUUAUUUUACUUUUUAUUUCAGCAUUUGUGCCCCAAUUACUAAUUAAUACAAGAACAUCUUGUUUAUUAAUCUGAAAGCUGUAUCCUUGGCACAUGCGUUUUUAUGCUAUUGUUGUUGCAGGAACUAAUGACUUUGCUGCAGGUAUAUCUUUCUCCACUACAGAGAAGUCGUUAGCUGAGGCAUUUUCAAAAUUUGGUCAAGUCGUGGAAUGUAUGGGGUUAACCUGUUACUUUAACCUUAAAACUCAUUUCUUUCUUGAGUACAUUUCAAAAUUUGGUCAUAUCUAGGCAAUUUACAUUUCCAGCUGAAAUAAUAAGGGAUAAAGCUAGCAACAAAUCAAAAGGUUACGGGUAUGUGACCUUUGCUACAGAGGAUGAAGCCAAAAAGGCCUUUAUGGAGAUGAAUGGGAAGGUAAACUGCUUUACCAAUAGUUAAUUCUAUGAAUUAUGAAUACAAAGAAUAACACUAGUCAAUUGCAGCUGGUAGAUGGACGUCCUGUUGUCGUGGAUAAUGCUUGACCAAGGGAAGCAGAGGACUAGUGAGGCAGUAGCUUAUAUUAGGUUCUCCCUUCUUCCCCAUUAUUUUUUUAUGUAUGUAUUAUGAUGCAGAGAAGAUUUGUGCAUCAGACUCAGUUUUGGUCAACAGAAUAUAUACCCUUUUCUUCUAUUGUGAUUCAUCCAAAUAGCUGCGAAAGUGCUUGAGCUGCUGAGUAGUGAAAAUCCAUGCACUCUCACUCCUCUCUCCUUUCUUUACACUGACUCUGCUUAAUGAUUCCUUCUGCCAAAAUUUGGCCCUGCUAGCUGAAGAGAGAUUGAGAAUUGGAGCAUGCAUCAAUAAUCGAGUAAUUUCAUUUAUUUUUUUGCCAAUAUAGAACUUUUCCUUUCAUUGUUAGCUAGUUUGUUUUUCAAUUAACUUCGUAUCUGGCAUUCUAGUUUAUUCAUCAUAAAAUUCUCCAGUUACGAUUUUACAGUCGGAUCAUCAAGAAUGAUUUGUUCCAAUUUUAACUCGGUGAAAAUCAGAAUGCAAGGGCCCUAUUGAUGGCUAAAAGAAAGUAGCAAAUACCCAUUUGUUUCUACUUGUCAGCUGAUGUGUUUGUUUAUGCCCUUUACUUUCAAGCUGAUUGAUGCUCCUGGACAAUAAUAGGCCAACACGUGCUAUAAAAAGGGAGGAUUAUGGAAUUAUACCAAUGUUGGUUCCA